CAGUCGCCACGGUAAUACAGAGGGUGCGAGCGUUAAUCGGAUUUACUGGGCGUAAAGCGUGCGUAGGCGGCUUCUUAAGUCGGAUGUGAAAUCCCUGAGCUUAACUUAGGAAUUGCAUUCGAUACUGGGAAGCUAGAGUAUGGGAGAGGAUGGUAGAAUUCCAGGUGUAGCGGUGAAAUGCGUAGAGAUCUGGAGGAAUACCGAUGGCGAAGGCAGCCAUCUGGCCUAAUACUGACGCUGAGGUACGAAAGCAUGGGGAGCAAACAGGAUUAGAUACCCCAGAGUCCCUGUCUCUUAUACA
rnacentral:rRNA from 1 species